rnacentral:rRNA from 1 species
CCUACGGGAGGCAGCAGUGAGGAAUAUUGGUCAAUGGGAGAGAUCCUGAACCAGCCAAGCCGCGUGAGGGAAGACGGCCCUAUGGGUUGUAAACCUCUUUUGUCGGAGAACAAAACCCGGGACGAGUCCCGGACUGCGUGUAUCCGAAGAAAAAGCAUCGGCUAACUCCGUGCCAGCAGCCGCGGUAAUACGGAGGAUGCGAGCGUUAUCCGGAUUUAUUGGGUUUAAAGGGUGCGUAGGCGGUCGGUUAAGUAAGCGGUAAAAUUGCGGGGCUCAACCCGGUCGUGCCGUUGAAACUGGCGGACUUGAGUGGGGGUGAAGUAGGCGGAAUGCGUGGUGUAGCGGUGAAAUGCAUAGAGAUCGUGCAGAACUCCGAUUGCGAAGGCAGCGUACCGGGG